rnacentral:rRNA from 1 species
AUGGCGAACACAACAAGAUCCAUAGCUAUUGUUCUUAUUGUGCUUGCGGCCUUGUCCUUUGGUUUCCCUGCCAUCGAUGCCGACGCCACCCUCCUCGUCAAGACAUGCAAGAAGACCACAAACGCCUUGUUGUGCCUGGCAGUGUUGAACGUCGACCCAAAGAGCGCCUACGCCACCACCGAGCACGACCUUGCCAGCGCCGCACUGCAGGUCGCAAUUAACACUGCUGACCACAACGUCGAGGUCAUCCACAACUUAGCCAAGGAUGUCCAAGGCACACCUGAAGGAGGCGCGUUGAACAUCUGCCUCGGGGCCUAUGUUGAUGCCGCCAACGACCUCGAGAUCGACGCUCGCCCCGGUUUUGAUGGCGGGAACUAUGUCGGCGCAAGGAAUCUCGUGUUGGGUGCCAAGGGCGCCGGUGGUAGAUGCGAGGAUGCGUUCAAGGGGAUCAACAAGAAGUCCCCGGUGACAAACAUAGAUCAACAGAUGACAGAGCAUUGUGGCGUCGCAGGUGAACUCAUUGGCCUUCUUAUACACAAGUGA